GCUCAAUCCCAACACCCAGCGAUCAUGACCUGAGCCGAAGGCAGAGGCUUUAACCCACUGAGCCACCCAGGCACCUUGUUCACAUUUAUUUUUCCUUUUUUU